UACCAGCACCCCGAGUGGUCGGGACGAUUAUUGGGCCUAAAGCAUCCGUAGCCGGUUUUACAAGUCCCCCGUUAAAUCCAGCUGCUUAACAGAUGGGCUGCGGAGGAUACUAUAAGACUAGUAGGCAGGAGAGGCAAGCGGUACUCAGUGGGUAGGGGUAAAAUCCGUUGAUCCAUUGAAGACCACCAGUGGCGAAGGCGGCUUGCCAGAAUGCGCUCGACGGUGAGGGAUGAAAGCUGGGGAGCAAACCGG
rnacentral:rRNA from 1 species